rnacentral:rRNA from 1 species
UGGGGAAUAUUGCACAAUGGAGGGAACUCUGAUGCAGCGACGCCGCGUGAACGAAGAAGGCUUUCGAGUCGUAAAGUUCUUUUAUAUGGGAAGAUAAUGACGGUACCAUAAGAAAAAGCCCCGGCUAACUACGUGCCAGCAGCCGCGGUAAUACGUAGGGGGCUAGCGUUGUCCGGAAUCACUGGGCGUAAAGGGUUCGCAGGCGGAAAUGCAAGUCAGGUGUAAAAGGCAGUAGCUUAACUACUGUAAGCAUUUGAAACUGCAUAUCUUGAGAAGAGUAGAGGUAAGUGGAAUGUUUAGUGUAGCGGUGAAAUGCGUAGAUAUUAAAAAGAAUACCGGGGGCGAAGGCGACUUACUGGGCUCAUUCUGACGCUGAGGAACGAAAGCGUGGGUAGCAAACAGG